rnacentral:rRNA from 1 species
UACGUAGGCAGCGAGCGUUGUUCGGAGUUACUGGGCGUAAAGGGUGUGUAGGCGGUUGUUUAAGUUUGGUGUGAAAUCUCCCGGGCUCCAACUGGGAGGGUGCGCCGAAUACUGAAUGACUUCGAGUGCGGGAGAGGAGAGUGGAAUUCCUGGUGUAGCGGUGAAAUGCGUAGAUAUCAGGAGGAACACCGGUGGUGUAGACGGCUCUCUGGACCGUAACUGACGCUGAGACACGAAAGCGUGGGUAGCAAACAGG